rnacentral:lncRNA from 1 species
UGGACGAACAUGGCGCCCCGGCCUUCGGGCUGUUAUUUUUGGGUGCGGCUUUGUCCGCAGCCUAUUUUUGGCACACGGAGGCCCCUCACAAAGUCUCGCGGCAUUCCGUGUCCGGCGGACGAAGUUGGCCAGCCGCACCCCCCAAGGCUAUAGCCCACCCGUUUUUGUGGCCUUUUUCCGCUGGAUGAACUUGGCGCCCCGGCCUUCGGGCGGUUAUUUUUGUGGGCGGCUUUGCCCGCGGCCUAUGUUUUGCACACGGAGGCCCCUCGCAAAGUCUCGCGGCAUUCCGAGUCCGGCGGACGAAGUGGGCCAGCCCCACCCCCCAAGGCUAUAGCCCACCCGUUUUUGUGGCCUUUUUCCGCUGGACGAACUUGGCGCCCCGGCCUUCGGGCGGUUAAUUUUGGGUACGGCUUUGCCCGCGGCCUAUUUUUGGCACACGGAGGCCCUUCGCAAAGUCUUGCGGCAUUCCGAGUCCGGCGGACGAAGUGGGCCAGCCCCACCCCCCAAGGCUAUAGCCCACCCGUUUUUGUGGCCUUUUUGCGCUGGACGAACUUGACUCCCCGGUUUUCGGGCGGUUAUUUUUGGACGCGGCUUUGCCCGCGGCCUAUGUUUGGCACACGGAGGCCCCUCGCAAAGUCUCGCGGCAUUCCGAGUCCGGCGGACGAAGUGGGCCAGCCCCACCCCCCAAGGCUAUAGCCCACCCGUUUUUGUGGCAUUUUUGCGCUGGACGAACUUGGCACCCCCGCAUUCGGGCGGUUAUUUUUGGGCGCGGCUUUGCCCGCGGCCUUUGUUUGGCAGCACACGGAGGCCCCUCGCAAAGUCUCACGGCAUUCCGAGUCCGGAGGACGAAGCUGGCCAGCCCCAACCCCCAAGGCUAUAGCCCACCCGUUUUUGUGGCCUUUUUCCGCUGGACGAACUUGGCGCCCCGGCCUUCGGGCGGUUAUUUUUGGGUGCGGCUUUGCCCGCGGCCUAUUUUUGGCACACGGAGGCCCCUCGCAAAGUCUCGCGGCAUUCCGAGUCCGGCGGACGAAGUUGGCCAGCCCCACCCCCGAGGGUAUCGCCCCCCCGUUUUUGGGGCCUUUUUGCGCUGGACGAACUUGGCGCCCCGCCUUCGGACGGUUAUUUUUGGGCGCGGCUUUGCCCGCGGCCUUUGUUUGGCAGCACACGGAGGCCCCUCGCAAAGUCUCACGGCAUUCCGAGUCCGGCGGACGAAGUUGGCCAGCCCCAACCCCCAAGGCUAUAGCCCACCCGUUUUUGUGGCAUUUUUGCGCUGAACGAACUUGGCGCCCCGCCUUCGGACGGUUAUUUUUGGGCGCGGCUUUGCCCGCGGCCUUUGUUUGGCACACGGAGGCCCCUCGCAAAGUCUCACGGCAUUCCGUGUCCGGCGGACGAAGUUGGCCAGCCCCACCCCCCAAGGCUACCUCCCACCCGUUUUUGUGGCCUUUUUGCGCUGGACGAACUUGGCGCCCCGGACUUCAGGCGGUUAUUUUUGGAUGUGGCUUUGCCCGUCCCCUAAGUUUGGCACACGGAAGCCCCUCGCGAAGUCUCGCGGCAUUCCGAGUCCGGCGGACGAAGUCGGCCCGCCCCACCUCCCAAGGCUAUAGCCCACCCGUUCUUGUGGCCUUUUUCCGCUGGACGAACUUGGCGCCGUGGCCUUCGGGUGGUUAUUUUUGGGUACGGCUUUGCCCACGGCCUAUUUUUGGCACACGGAGACCCCUCACAAAGUCUCGCGGCAUUCCAAGUCCGGCGGACGAAGUUGGCCAGCCGCACCCCCCAAGGCUAUACCCCACCCGUUUUUGUGGCCUUUUUGCGCUGGACGAACUUGGCGCCCCGGCCUUCAGGCGGGUAUUUUUGGGCGUGGCUUUGCCCACAGCCUAUGUUUGGCACACGGAGGACCCUCGCAAAGUCUCGCGGCAUUCCGAGUCCGGCUGACGAAGUCGGCCCCCCCACCCCCCAAGGCUAUAGCCCACCCGUUUUUGUGGCCUUUUUCCGCUGAACGAACUUGGCGCCCCAGCCUUCGGGCGGUUAUUUUUGGGCGCGGCUUUUCCCGGGGCCUAUUUUGGCACACGGAGGCCCCUAGCAAAGUCUCGCGGCAUUCCGAGCCCGGCGGAAGAAGUUGGCCAUCCCCACCCCCCAAGGUUAUAGCCCACCCGUUUUUGUGGCCUUUUUCCGCUGGACGAACUUGGCGCCCCGGCCGUCGGGAGGUUAUUUUUGGGCGCGGCUUUGUCCGCGGCCUAUGUUUGGCACACGGAGGCCCUUCGCAAAGUCUUGCGGCAUUCCGAGUCCGGCGGACGAAGUGGGCCAGCCCCACCCCCCAAGGCUAUAGCCCACCCGUUUUUGUGGCCUUUUUGCGCUGGACGAACUUGACUCCCCGGCUUUCGGGCGGUUAUUUUUGGGCGCGGCUUUGGCCGCGGCCUUUGUUUGGCACACGGAGGCCCCUCGCAAAGUCUCACGGCAUUCCGAGUCCGGCGAACGAAGUGGGCCAGCCCCACCCCCCAAGGAUAUAGCCCACCCGUUUUUGUGGCCUUGUUGCGCUGGACGAAUUUGACGCCCCGGCCUUCGGGCGGUUAUUUUUGGGCGCGGCUUUUGCCGCAGCCUAUGUUUGGCACAUGGAGGCCACUCGCAAAAUCUCACGGCAUUCCGAGUCCGGCGGACGAAGUUGGCCAGCCCCACCCCCCAAGGCUAUAGCCCACCCGUUUUUGUGGCCUUAUUGCGCUGGACGAACGUGGCGCCCCGGCCUUCGGGCUGUUAUUUUUGGGUGCGGCUUUGUCCGCAGCCUAUUUUUGGCACACGGAGGCCCCUCACAAAGUCUCGCGGCAUUCCGUGUCCGGCGGACGAAGUUGGCCAGCCGCACCCCCCAAGGCUAUAGCCCACCCGUUUUUGUGGCCUUUUUCCGCUGGAUGAACUUGGCGCCCCGGCCUUCGGGCGGUUAUUUUUGGGCGCGGCUUUCACCGCGGCCUAUUUUUGGCACACUGAGGCCCCUCGCAAAGUCUCGUAGCAUUCCGAGUCCGGCGGACGAAGUUGGCCAGCCCCACCCCCCAAGGCUAUAGCCCACCUGUUUUUGUGGCCUUUUUGCGCUGGACGCACUUGGCGCCCCGGCCUUCGGGCAGUUAUUUUUGGGCGCGGCUUUGCCCGCGGCCUAUUUUUGGCACACGGAGGCCCCUCGUAAAGUCUCGCGGCAUUCCGAGUCCGGCAGACGAAGUCGGCCAGCCCCACCCCCCAAGGCUAUUGCCCACCCGUUUUUGCGGCCUUAUUGCGCUGGACGAACGUGGCGCCCCGGCCUUCGGGCAGUUAUUUUUGGGCGCGGCUUUGUCCGCAGCCUAUUUUUGGCACACGGAGGCCCCUCGCAAAGUCUCGUGGCAUUCCGAGUCCGGCAGACGAAGUUGGCCGGCCCCACCCCCCAAGGCUAUAGCCCACCCGUUUUUGUGGCCUUAUUGUGCUGGACGAACGUGGCGCCCCGGCCUUCGGGCCGUUAUUUUUGGACGCGGCUUUGUCCGCAGCCUAUUUUUGGCACACGGAGGCCCCUCGCAAAGUCUCGCGGCAUUCCGAGUCCAGCGGACGAAGUUGGCCAGCCCCACCCCCCAAGGCUAUAGCCCACCCGUUUUUGUGGCCUUUUUCCGCUGGAUGAACUUGGCGCCCCGGCCUUCGGGCGGUUAUUUUUGGGCGCGGCUUUGACCGCAGCAUAUUUUUGGUACACGGAGGCCCCUCGCAAAGUCUCGCGGCAUUCCGAGUCCGGCGGACGAAGUUGGCCAGCCCCACCCCACAAGGCUAUAGCCCACCCGUUUUUGUGGCAUUUUUGCGCUGGAUGAACUUGGCGCCCCGGCCUUCGGGCGGUUAUUUUUGGGCGCGGCUUUGCCGACGGCCUAUUUUUGGCACACGGAGGCCCCUCACAAAGUCUAGCGGCAUUCCGAGUCCGGCGGACGAAGUCGGCCAGCCCCACCCCCCAAGGCUAUAGCCCACCCGUUUUUGUGGCCUUGUUGCGCUGGACGAACGUGGCGCCCCGGCCUUCGGGCGGUUAUUUUUGGGCGCGGCUUAGUCCGCAGCCUAUUUUUUGCACACGGAGGCCCCUCGCAAAGUCUCACAGCAUUCCGAGUCCGGCGGACGAAGUGGGCCAGCCCCACCGCCCAAGGCUAUAGCCCACCCGUUUUUGUGGCCUUUUUCCGCUGGACGAACUUGGCACCCCGGCCUUCGUGCGGUUAUUUUGGGGCGCGGCAUUGUCCGCGGCCUAUGUUUGGCACACGGAGGCCCCUUGGAAAGUCUCGCGGCAUUCCGAGUCCGGCGGACGAUGUUGGCCAGCCCCGCCCCCCAAGGCUAUAGCCCACCCGUUUUUGUGGCCUUGUUGCGCUGGACGAACGUGGCGCCCCGGCCUUCGGGCGGUUAUUUUUGGGCGCGGCUUAGUCCGCAGCCU